rnacentral:rRNA from 1 species
AGCAGCCGCGGUAAUUCCAGCUCCAAUAGCGUAUAUUAAAGUUGUUGCAGUUAAAAGCUCGUAGUUGAACUUCGGGGUUUACCCAUUGGUCAGGCUUAAUUGUCUGUACUGGUGAGAUAAAUCUCUACCUUCUGAGGAACUUUCAUGCCAUUUAGUUGGUGUGAUAGGAAAUCAGGACUGUUACUUUGAAAAAUUAGAGUGUUUAAAGCAGGCUAACGUCUGAAUACAUUAGCAUGGAAUAAUGAAAUAGGACGGAUUGGUUCUAUUUCGUUGGUUUCUAGGAUCACCGUAAUGAUUAAUAGGGAUAGUUGGGGGCAUUAGUAUUCAAUUGUCAGAGGUGAAAUUCUUGGAUUUAUUGAAGACUAACUACUGCGAAAGCAUUUGCCAAGGAUGUUUUCAUUAAUCAAGAACGAAAGUUAGGGGAUCGAAGACGAUCAGAUACCGUCGUAGUCUUAACCAUAAACUAUGCCGACUAGGGAUCGGAUGAUGUUAAUUUUAAUGACUCAUUCGGCGCCUUAAC